GAUAACUGUACAGAAACACUGCCACAUAGCGCCGUUUUAACAUUGCGCGCGCACACACGCACACGCGCCACUGUGGAGCGCUGCGUUUGACUCCUAAAAGGCAGGUGUCUCUGUCUUGGCCCAGCAGCGGGGACGUUGUUGUACACUCCUGAAAGGGUGUGGGACAUCAUUUGAGCUAGUACAGUUUUGCACAAUGUUGCACUGGAGAAUGGAGUGCCGUUGGCUGUGCCGAUGCAACGUGAGGAGCCAAUGCCCAGAGAACAAUAACGAGGAGAGACUCUACAAAGGUGCUGUACAGAGGAGACAGGACCUUAUUGAUGGAUGUAAAGUAUAACUUUAGAAAGUGCUCUUCCUAUUUAAUUA